AACGAACGCUGGCGGCAGGCCUAACACAUGCAAGUCGAACGCCCUAGCAAUAUGGAGUGGCAGACGGGUGAGUAACGCGUGGGAACCUUCCCAUUGGUACGGAAUAGCCCAGGGAAACUUGGAGUAAUACCGUAUAAGCCCGAAAGGGGAAAGAUUUAUCGCCGAUGGAUGGGCCCGCGUAGGAUUAGCUAGUUGGUGAGGUAAUGGCUCACCAAGGCGACGAUCCUUAGCUGGUCUGAGAGGACGAUCAGCCACACUGGGACUGAGACACGGCCCAGACUCCUACGGGAGGCAGCAGUGGGGAAUAUUGGACAAUGGGCGCAAGCCUGAUCCAGCCAUGCCGCGUGAGUGACGAAGGCCUUAGGGUUGUAAAGCUCUUUUGGCGGGGACGAUAAUGACGGUACCCGCAGAAUAAGCCCCGGCUAACUUCGUGCCAGCAGCCGCAGUAACAC
rnacentral:rRNA from 1 species